rnacentral:rRNA from 1 species
UACGUAGGGGGCAAGCGUUGUCCGGAUUUAUUGGGCGUAAAGAGCGUGUAGGCGGCCUGAAAGGUCAGCUGUGAAAACUCGAGGCUCAACCUCGAGACGUCGGUUGAAACCAUCUGGCUAGAGUCCGGAAGAGGAGUGUGGAAUUCCCGGUGUAGCGGUGAAAUGCGCAGAUAUCGGGAGGAACACCUGUGGCGAAGGCGGCCCCCUGGUUGGAUACUGACGCUGAUACGCGAAAGCGUGGGGAGCAAACAGG